AAGGGUGGCUAUACCGCAUGUGGUGCCUCGUUCGCUCGAGUCACCAAAGCCGCAAGGCGCUUCGGGAGGGGCCUGCGUCCGAUUAGCUCGUUGGUGGGGUAAUGGCUCACCAAGGCGACGAUCGGUAGGUGGUCUGAGAGGACGAUCACCCAGACUGGGACUGAGACACGGCCCAGACUCCUACGGGAGGCAGCAGUCGGGAAUUUUGCUCAAUGGGCGAAAGCCUGAAGCAGCAACGCCGCGUGAGGGAUGAAGGCCUUCGGGUUGUAAACCUCUUUUCUCAGGGACGAUGAUGACGGUACCUGAGGAAGAAGCCACGGCUAACUACGUGCCAGCAGCCGCGGUAAUACGUAGGUGGCGAGCGUUGUCCGGAUUUACUGGGCGUAAAGAGCACGCAGGCGGUCGUUCAAGUCGAGUGUGAAAGCCCCUGGCUCAACUGGGGAGGGUCACUCGAUACUGAUCGACUCGAAGGCGGGAGAGGGAAGCGGAAUUCCCGGUGUAGUGGUGAAAUGCGUAGAUAUCGGGAGGAACACCAGUGGCGAAGGCGGCUUCCUGGCCCGUUCUUGACGCUCAUGUGCGAAAGCUAGGGUAGCAAACGGGAUUAGAUACCCCGGUAGUCCUAGCCGUAAACGACGGACACUAGGUGUUGGCGGUAUCAACCCCGCCAGUGCCGAAGCUAACGCAUUAAGUGUCCCGCC
rnacentral:rRNA from 1 species